UGCUUAAUAAAAGUUUGGGUCCACGCUGGACUUCCAUACAAGGAUGAAAUAGGGAUUUUUCAGAUAAGAACUGAAGAAUCAUAAAAGAGAAAUAGAUAGAUUUGGUGGUAAGAAGGAAAAGUCAUCUUCUUCAUCUAGUUGCUGAGGGGGUGGUGUUUCGAACUUCUUCUUCACUGCAGGUGGCCACUUCAACAAUUCGGUUCGGGUUGAGAGCUUCACCUUCGAAGAAAAAUUUGUUUCUUCCUUUCCAGAUUUCCCAGAGCAGAUACGCAGCAUUGUGAAUCUUUCUUCUUCUAUUUCUUUCAAUUUUUAACUUCUCAAUCAAACUCAUCCACCAUUGCCAAAGACUCGUGGUCUGAUGAAGAGUAAAGAUUCCCAUUCCUGCAAAUUGCCACACUAAUUGCGAGGUUUCACAAUUGAUGAGGCAAAAAAGAUAUUCUUGGGAUUCUUUCGUGCAAUCUUUUACCCGUAGAGUUUCUUCUCGUGACACUGGACUGGGAGCAUUUCCAGAUAAGGGUGAUAGAAUUAGUAAGCCACUUGGUAGCCUGAAGCAGCUGCGUAUCUUCCUUGUUUCUCCUUGGGCCAGGUAAUUUCAUCCUCCCCAUUAUAAUGCUUGUCUGAAAAAUUGGUUGAGCUAUAUCUGGAUUAAAAAUUUCUGUGAUAAAUUGUUGGUUUCACUGUCUAUUAUUUGUGAUGAACUAAGAUACCCAUUCUACUUGCAUGUUGUUCGGGUGUUGCAUAAUAGUCGAUAAAGGGGGUAAUUUUUUAUCCAUGGGUCUUCCAUUAACUUCACUGAUCUGCCGCUUCCUAUCUCCCACUGAAUUCCCUUUUCAAUCACUUUUCUGCCUUCCAACUUACUUUUCCAAUCCCAUAAGGGGUUAUUUCCUACUCCUUCCUUAAGAAAGGAUGUAAACCUGAAAUAUUUGCUCUUAUAGACUCUGCAAAGCAGUGCAUUAGGCCUGGUCAAAAUUCUCCAGCCUUGUUUUUCAAGCAUGAACAAAUUAAAAGCUCUAAUAUUAAAUUAUAGCCUGUCUUGUUGUUUUGGUCUGCACAUCAGAUUCAACCCUAUCCACUGCAUUUUCUUUUCAUUCUCUUCUUGGCGCCACCAAAUCUGCAUCAUCAUACUAUGAAGUUCUUCCGUGAACGUAUCUGGUAGUUUAAAAUAGUUCAACGUAUAUAAAGAGACCGCCAAUGCUACUGCUUUAAUAAGAAUCUCCCUUCCGCUUGCUGAUAAUAAGGAUCAUUUUCAAUGUUGUAACUUGUUAGAAACCUUAUCCUUAAUAUAGGAAAACAUUGCUCUCUUAGAUCGGUUGAUAACUGAUGGUAAUUCAAGAUAUUUAUCUCGGUUACUGACACGGGGAACAUUGAGAAUAGCUACCAGGUGAUCUCUAACUUCCGUAGGGGUGUUGUGGCUGAAGAAAAUGGAGGAUUUGUCUGGGUUAAUGACUUGGUCGCUUACUUGAGAAUAAGUGUGAAGAAUAGUCAUUAACUGUAAGCAAUCCUCUUCUGUUGUCCUAUUGAAUAAGAUGGAAUCAUCCGCAAAAAUAAGUGAUUGGCUGUAUGUCUGUGGAGCAGAUAGCAGGGGCCCUCUGCACAAAAGAGAAAAAGGUAGGAGGAUAAAGGAUCACCUUGUCGCAAUCCUCUAUAUGGUCUAAAGAAGCCAUGAGGUUGACCUUCCACAGUAACAGAGUAUGAGACCGUCGUCACACAUUCCUUUAACCAACCAAUCCAUCUCGAACAAAAAUCCAUCUUCUUCAUAAUCGCCCAUACAUAACUCUAUUCCACCCUGUUGUACACAUUAUUCGUAUCCAUUUUCAAAGCUAAUUCUUGAGAGCCGGACCUUUUAUUCUUGAGAAAAUGCAUGAAUUCGUGAGCAAUAAGAAUAUUAUCACUGAUAAGCCUGCCCCUUAUGAAAGCACUUUGAUUAUGGCUAAUGACUUUAUCCAUAACACUUUGCAUAUGGUGCACUAUUACUUUUGACACAAUCUUGUAAAAAACCGUACUGAGGCUGAUUGGUUUUAUAUGCUUCAUAGAAGUAGUGUUAGUAAUUUUUUGAAUAAGACAAAUAUGAGUAUGGUUAAAGGCUCUAAGCAUGUACCCACCCGAAAAUAAACUAACCACAGCAUUAAUAACAUCAACUUUCAUUACCUCCCAGAAGAAUUGAUAGAAUUUAGCUGUGAAACUAUCUUCACCAGGAGCUAAAAAAGGAUUGAUAGAGAAAAUAGCCUCCUUGACUUCUUUAUCUGAUACUGGUCUUGUUAAUCUUCUAUUAAUGUUGUCAUCAAUUUUUCUUGGAAUGUCAGAGAUAGUUUCAAUUGGGUCUUCCGGAUUAGAAGAUCUAAACAAAUCCUCAAAAUAAGCUUGAGCUACUUCUGCAAUACCAUUCAGAUAUGAUUUUUCUGCACCAUAUUCUGCAACAAGACAAGAGAUACAAUUCUUCCUAUUCCUAACUUGAAAUUUGGUAUGAAAGAACUUGGUGUUCUUGUCACCCCAAUUAAGCCACUGGAUACAAGAUUUCUCCCUCCAAUAUCAUUCCUCCAUGUCAUAAGCUUCUUCCAGCUCAGCCUUUAAAAUUCUGAUAGUCUUACCAUUUGCCGAACCUCCCUUUUCCUUUUCCUCCAUCAACCGAUUAUUAAUUAGGGAGAUUUGGGCCUAGGAGUUAGAGCUAUGAGUCUUCUGCCAAUCUACAAUUGUAUGUCAACAUUUCUUUAGCUUUUAAUGAAGUUUAAACAUUGAAGAUCCUUCAAAAUCAUCCCUUCAUACCUCUUUGAUCAAAUCCAUGAUCACUUUUUUAUUGCACCAUCUUUCUUGGAAUCAGAAUCGUCUCUUUGGCUUUGUUGUGUGUGUAUCCGAGGUGAGUGGAAUCGGUCUAUGAUUUGAUCUCAUGUCAGUUAAAUGAGAAACCAAGGCACUUGGAUAGGAAUUCCUCCAUGCUUCUGACGCAAAUGCUCUAUCCAAUCUUUCUUUGAUGUGGUUGAUGCCAUAUUGACGGUUGGUCUACGUAAAUUUUAGUCCCUCAUAAUGCAGAUCUAUCAAACCAGCCUCAUUGAUAAAGUUUUGAAAUUUUUGAAUUGAGGACUCUGACUUUUCUCUACCUCCCUCCUUUUCAUGUUGGGCUUUAAUAGCAUUAAAAUCCCCAAUGAUGAUCUUGAGUUACUCUCCAUUCCUCGUGACCUCAAUUAGCUCCCUAAAUUGAAGUUUCCUUUGUCUUUUAGCCGUGUUAAGAUGCACCCCAUCACCUUCCACCUCCUUUUAUCUCCUGGUACUUCCAACUUGAAUUGAAUAAAAUAGUCUUUGUAGUUGAUUACUUGUACUCUCCUUCCAACCAACUACCAAUCCACCAGCAAUUCCAUUUGGUUCCAGACAAUACGAGUGUCCGAAACUUGCUUUCUUGAACACCUUCUCUACCUUUGAGGUGGUGUUUUUAGUUUCGCAAAGGAAUACCACCUCAGAGAAAUGAGCCUUACACAGCUCUUUCAUGCUGUGAACCGUCAGGGGUUUUUCCAUACCCCAACAGUUCCACAUCAUAAUCUUCAUGGAUUCUUGGGUGCUAUUUGUUGGGUGACGCCCUCCCCCAUAACAGCAAGAAUUAAUUCUGGAUGGCAGAUCUUCUUACUCCCGACUUCUUUCUUUGCUUCCUCGGUUCUCCUCUUAACUCCUAAUAUUUUCCUCGCUAGCUGGCCUUUCCUCAUCAUCUUUUUCAGCGAAAGUUUAUGUUUACCUGAGUCCUCUGUGAAGCUCUUUACACUUGAGGAGCUGGUCUGUUUUUGGCUAGGAACCUCUUUCACUGCCAAAGCAUUUUUACCCCGUUCUUGCCAAAGAUGUCCGUUGAAAUAUCAACCCCUGUUGCCUCCUGAAUUUCUGGUUUUUCUUUUAGAAUUAUAGUUGUAUGGGGACUGUUCUAAACCUCUUCUUUAUCCUUAUUACUUAUUCCUCUUGUAUCUUCCAUUGAUAAAGAAGCCAAUCCUUUGAGCAAGUUAACUGGUGUUGGAGGUUUUGGCCUCACUCCUAUCCCUGUUUCAUUGCUCAGAUUAUUAGGAUUUGCAUUCUCUUUUGAUAUUUUCUCCCUUCUCCCGAAUUGAUCCGCCCUUAUCCACCCUCCCUACCUUUUCUCCGCUACCCCUUCAUUCAUUGCAUCCCGUAGUUGAACACCAUAAGUUCUAGCUUCAUGCCCAAUGUGACCACAAUAGUUGCAAAAAUUGCCAAGUUUUUCAUAUUUCAGAUUUACCUCCAUGAUUUUCUAAUCAGACCCAGCGAUCUUCAGAAUUCUGCGCAAGGAUUUAGUUAUAUCCAAAUUCACUUGAAUUUUGACAAUCUUUUCGUGCCUGCCUCUCAGAUGAAAAAUAUCAGCAUUAAGAACCUCUCCUAAUGCUCUUCCCACUUCUCUUCCAAGCUCCCUAGUUUUGCAGUAAUAAGGAAGUCCUCAUAAUUGUAUCCAAAUUGGCACAUUUGCAAAUUCACUCUCAUCUAUUUGUUUUCUUUGUUCCCAUCUCCUUAGAUUGAGUAGGUAAUUUUUGAAUAGCCAAGGAGAACCCCUUUAAUUUCAAUCCUCAGUACAUUCAUUUCAUCAUAAAAAAAAUUGAAAAACAUUAAUUCCAUGGUUUUGUACCUUGAAACCUGCUGGUUGUCCCCAAAUUGCAAACAUGGUAGCCUCCAUUGUUGCUGAACUGAACGGGCGAUCAGGCAGAAGCCUUCCGAUUAAACUUUUUGCACACUUAUCCAAUUUAGAUUAAAUGUCUCCAUCAUUAAAUACCACUACCUCCUUUUCUUCAGCUAGGUUACGCCUCUGAUUCUGUCUAACAGAAUUCGAAUUGCUUCCCAUGAUCCACCUUGUUUACGAAUCUUCGUAGAAAGUCAACGACUUCACACGACUUUGAAAAAAUUAGGAUUAUACUUUACUAACCUUAGCAGAGCACAAAAAAAAAGCUCUUAGAUCAUUUUUUUUAUUCGAAUUUUAUUAUGUAUUUUUGUUUAAUAUUGAUAUAAAUAAAAAAAAUAUGAACUUAAUUUGAAAAUAUCAAAAAAUAUUUUUUAUUAACUCUACUUCAGAUAUAAAUAAAAAAUUAAACAUUUUUCGUACAUACACUAGUAUCAUGCAAAAUGGAUUGUGAUCAUUAAGCGAAGGGGCAGUCGUUUAAGCAGAGCAGGCUCAUGAUCAGAUCAUAAAAGAGCUAGUGAAAAACUCGAUUCUCAUUAGUCAAUAUAAUACACUUUAUGUCUGGUAUGUUCAUCAGCAUCACCCUAGGCCCUAGCUAGGAAUCAUUCUGGGCUAGAAAAUGACAUAAGAGAUAAUAUUGACUUGAGCACAUUAGCAUUCCACCAUGUCAUUUGUGUAAUAUUGUCCCUCAUGUAUA